GCUAUUGUUCACUUCACAAGGUCAGAACCUACACACGUCGCAAAUUGCUAACAUCCACUGUAGCCUCGCCUGGCGUGUUUACAUCUCUGUGCUUUGGGCCGAGUCUCGGAGCAGGGCCGGAUGGCGGGUCGCGAUCCCGCGCCGUCUCGGGGCUCCGGGGGUAUUUUCCACGGUGUGUUGUCAGCAAACGCGGCAACAGCAGGCGGUCUCAGAUCCUUUCCCUCUUUUCCCGGGCUCCUGGCGGCGGCGCGCGCGGCAUAUGCUCUGGGAGCCCUCGACGCAGACCCGCUCGCCUCCAUUUGUGUUUGUGCGGUCAAAUUUAAUCAAGAUGGCAUCUGUUGGUGUUUAGUGAUUCAUCAAGCCCCACUUGACACAUGUCUGACUGGGGUGGCGUUAAUCUCCCCAGAGGGUGGGGUCCCCUUUUCUCCACCGUGUGCCACUCCUUCGCGGAGCCCUUUCCUUUUCCCGUCAAUUUACAUUUCAAAUAAGGCGCCGAGCCGAUCAAACGCGGUCACUAACGACGGGGCCUUUCAUCAGUGGCUCGCAUGCUAUGCAGAGAUAGUAUACGGCGAGGUCUCAUUGAUCAUAAGCAGGUGGGUGUGCUUUUUGGCAUUGGUUUGUGUGCUGCCAGGCUCCUGUCAUUGUUUUAUCCUAAGUUUGUCUCUAGGGGCAAGGUGUCGCUGGCGGGGGAUGUGCCAGUGGGUCUCACAGAAGCGCGUCUUUGAGGAAGCUUUACAUGCCACUGAAUUAAUCACAAGGAUCCCAAGACCCGCGAAUCGCACUGAAUCCAAAAUAAAUGCGAAAACGUAUGUUGCCUCGAGUUUAUUAAUCUGUCUCCCGUCUGGUUAUUGUCAGCUACUCAGCCCAUCAGAAGUCGAUUCUGGUCAAAGUCAGGUCGUGAUCACGCCGACGCUGAUGACUCGUUUGCCCGUCGCCAUCCAGCACAUAUGGAACUCCUCAGCAACACGAGCCGUUUAUCUGCACCGAGGCUCCACUGCCAAAUACUGUACAUCAUGGAAAGUUCC
rnacentral:lncRNA from 1 species